UUUCAACUGCGUCACUGUGGGGAUCCCCCGACGACCCCAGCUAGUGUGACUAACUAAAAGGAUGGCGGGGAGCUCACAGAGUGCUGAAGGGAUGAGUGGAGGAAGUGAAUACGGAAAAGAAGGAGCCGGAGAAGAGAGAAUCACAGAAAAGGCCAUUUCGGGAUUUGAAGGGCAAUUUGUACCGUGGGACGGAGGUAACUGGAUCUUUGGUUUCCAUGGCAACACAUAGACGCCCUCCAGGAAGAUGGCAGCGAUGAACUCCAACGCUGGACCAAAAGACUGAGCCAACAGCUCCUCCCACAGUUCUCAGUCCGCCUUUUCUUCGACACAUAAACAUCUUUUUAAUUGCUGAAGAUCAAAGUUUAGGGUCAGGACCCUAACCCAAACACCGAUAAAGCAACAUUUUCUGAAA